CCUACGGGUGGCAGCAGUGAGGAAUAUUGGUCAAUGGGCGAGAGCCUGAACCAGCCAAGUCGCGUGAAGGAUGACUGCCCUACGGGUUGUAAACUUCUUUUAUCAAGGAAUAAAGUGCGGCACGUGUGCCUCUUUGUAUGUACUUUAUGAAUAAGGAUCGGCUAACUCCGUGCCAGCAGCCGCGGUAAUACGGAGGAUCCGAGCGUUAUCCGGAUUUAUUGGGUUUAAAGGGUGCGGAGAUGGGUUGUUAAGUCAGUUGUGAAAGUUUGCGGCUCAACCGUAAAAUUGCAAUUGAUACUGGCAGUCUUGAGUACAGGUGAGGUAGGCGGAAUGCGUGGUGUAGCGGUGAAAUGCAUAGAUAUCACGCAGAACUCCGAUUGCGAAGGCAGCGUACUAAACCGCCACUGACAUUGAUGCUCGAAAGCGUGGGUAUCAAACAGGAUUAGAUACCCGGGUAGUC
rnacentral:rRNA from 1 species